rnacentral:rRNA from 1 species
GCACCGAGCGGAUGAGUUGCGAACGGGUGAGUAACGCGUAGGUAACCUGCCUCUUAGCGGGGGAUAACUAUUGGAAACGAUAGCUAAUACCGCAUAAAAGUCGACAUUGCAUGAUGUUGACUUGAAAGGUGCAACUGCAUCACUAAGAGAUGGACCUGCGUUGUAUUAGCUAGUUGGUGAGGUAACGGCUCACCAAGGCGACGAUACAUAGCCGACCUGAGAGGGUGAUCGGCCACACUGGGACUGAGACACGGCCCAGACUCCUACGGGAGGCAGCAGUAGGGAAUCUUCGGCAAUGGACGGAAGUCUGACCGAGCAACGCCGCGUGAGUGAAGAAGGUUUUCGGAUCGUAAAGCUCUGUUGUAAGAGAAGAACGAGUGUGAGAGUGGAAAGUUCACACUGUGACGGUAACUUACCAGAAAGGGACGGCUAACUACGUGCCAGCAGCCGCGGUAAUACGUAGGUCCCGAGCGUUAUCCGGAUUUAUUGGGCGUAAAGCGAGCGCAGGCGGUUAGAUAAGUCUGAAGUUAAAGGCUGUGGCUUAACCAUAGUACGCUUUGGAAACUGUUUAACUUGAGUGCAGAAGGGGAGAGUGGAAUUCCAUGUGUAGCGGUGAAAUGCGUAGAUAUAUGGAGGAACACCGGUGGCGAAAGCGGCUC